CAUGUGUGGCGUGGGAUGCCUUGGAUCACGCUGCACCCCAAGUCCGCCGCUUUGCUAUAACUCUUCUUAGAGGGAUUCACGGCACUGAAGCCGUAAGAGACUGAGAGCAAUAACAGGUCUGUGAUGCCCUUAGAUGCUCUGGGCCGCACGCGCGCUACAAUGCCGGGCACAGCAGGUGUUUCUCCUGCUCCGACAGGAGCGGGUAACCCUCUGAAAGCCAGUGUUCUUGCAAGUGCUUCCUCCCUCGUGGAGUUGCACAGAGGCGUGCUUGGGCCUGGGACUUGCAAUUCUUUCCCACCAACGAGGAAUGCCUAGUAGCGGCGGGUCACUGAGCCCGCUGUGACUCAGUCCCUGCCCUUUGUACACACCGCCCGUCGCUACUACCGAUUGGGUGUACCAGUGAGAGCCUUGGACUGGCGUCCGUUGUUGCUCGCAAGAGUGACAAGCGGGUCCGACGGAAAGAGGUCCGAA
rnacentral:rRNA from 1 species